GGCGCGGGACGAAGGGGCCGGAGCGCCCCGGACUGACUUAGCGGUUCUGAACUUGGGGCGGUCGCUGUGCCGGGCCAAGUGGCUGAGGAAGUUCCUCCCCUCGUCUAACCCUCUCAUUUUCUGGCUGGGGAAGUCGCCCAUCGCGCUGAGGAAUGCCCUUUGUCCCCUUACAGAAACACCUCUGCGCCCCACGUGGGGACUCGGGCCGGGACCCCUCACCCGGUCCGCAGCGCUGUAGUUCCUGUGGCUAGCCCAGUCCUUCCACGUCCCUACCCUCACCCAGCGCGCCCACGUCAGGGGUUUUCAGCGUCCUUAGACCCUGCUCCGUCUGGCUGUCAUUUCUAGGGCGCGCACGAUGCGGGUCGAAAAGGAACCCAGUUUUCAGUGUGCCUUGUUGCCCAGGCCAAGGACUCAGCGGACCUCGCCUCUCCCUUUUCUGUAAUUGUAACACUGCCCCAGGUCUCCCUAUUCCUCCUUCUCCCUAUUCCUCCUUCUCCCUAUUCCUCCUUCCAGCCUGGAAGCCUCGCGGCCCUCCAGAUGGACUCGGAGCGCCCCUGGAGGCUACAGUGACCUAAGCUCUAGGAAGGCCGGGUCCUGGACGCCGCGUGCUGCUGUCCGCCGCCGACCGAGUCCUCGCAGAGAUAACCUGGCUGAACUCACCGCCCAGCGCUAUGUCAGUUCUCCCUCAUGACAACCCAAAACUUGACCGGAUUUGUGUUCUGCAGAGGGGAAAAAAAAAGCGGCCACCGAACACCAGUGCAGUAGCCAGGAUGGGCCUGUGGCUCUGGCUCCAGCCUCCAGGGACACCAGCCGGAGAGAAGGAAGCCACGCAUGGAGAGCGGCCAGGCUCAAAAUAUCUUAAAGAAAAUGGAACUCGGAGUCAGUCAUCUGUUCUCAACGUGGUCAUCUCAAAAAUAUGAGCACACAGAAGUUUUCUUCCUUCUUGUCAGUUUUGAGUCCAAUAUCAAUACUGUUGUCCUGUGAAAGAUUUUAAGAUUUAAAUGUUUUUUCAUGUAAUUUCCUGAUGUCUUGAUUGUUGCUUCUAUUUUGUUCAUCAAAACCAAACAGAGUGGAGGUUGCUCUGGGGCUGCAUGGAUGGCCAGUCAUUAAAAUCAAUGCCUUAUUAGUCUGCCUUAGUUCUGUGGUCUUUUCUGGCUUUACAGAUCAGCUUGUGUU